rnacentral:lncRNA from 1 species
AAUUUUUUAAACAUGAUAAUUGUGUCUUACCAUGGACAUUAUUUAUUUGCUAAAUUAGUCAAUAUAAUAUUUCAAGGUCUGGCGUUCAAAGUUUUAAACCUGAUAUCUAUAAAGAACUUAUUUGUAAUAUUUAUUGUUGCAAAUAAAAACGUACCUUAGUAUCGAAAAGUGAAAUAAGAAAAAAAAAACGAACUCCAAGGAAAAUUCAAAUCGCAAAGUCUCUCAUCAAAUAGCAAAAUCGAAAGCUCAAACACAUCAAACACAUCAAACGAAUGGAAAACAAUUGUCAUAUUCCUGACUUGGUACAGGCAUUUUCCUUUAUAGAAAACGUGGAUUAAAUCUGGUUUUGUAGCUAGCUAUACCUCUCACUUGCAUGACAGUAGCACAAAGUUCCAUUAUAUUGACAUUAAUGUGUAAACAAAACAAACCGGUAUGAUAGAUAACAUUGUCAAAAAUAGAGAUACAGCGAUCAACAUUGUAUUAUAAUCUUAAUCACAAUGAAAACAAACAAAUAUUUCAACAAAAGCACAUAAGCACAAAUUGAAUAUCAAAAAUUAGUAUAUGUGCUUUUAAUACAGAGCGAAGACCCGGAUGAGUCCAACAAAAUAACAUUAUCAUAAACAUAAAUAGUGUCAGUCAUGCAAUAUUAUUUAGUUAAACAGUAUUGAUAAGAUGUAUAGUAGGUAAUAAGUAUUUCUAACAGGAUUACUUUAUUUAUAAGUGCAUGUUUGUGAACGGUUUUUGGAAAAAAUAGCAAUAAGCGGAAU